rnacentral:rRNA from 1 species
GACGGAGGAUGCAAGUGUUAUCCGGAAUCACUGGGCGUAAAGCGUCUGUAGGUGGUUCGAAAAGUCCACUGUUAAAGAUUGAGGCUUAACUUCAAAAAUGCCGUGGAAACUUUCAAACUAGAGUAUGGUAGGGGUAGAGGGAAUUUCCAGUGGAGCGGUGAAAUGCGUAGAUAUUGGAAAAGACCACCGAUGGCGAAGGCAACUCUACUGGGCCAUUACUGACACUGAGAGACGAAAGCUAGGGGAGCAAAUGGG